rnacentral:rRNA from 1 species
GAUGAACGCUGGCGGCGUGCCUAAUACAUGCGAGUCGAGCGAACAGACGAGGAGCUUGCUCCUCUGACGUUAGCGGCGGACGGGUGAGUAACACGUGGAUAACCUACCUAUAAGACUGGGAUAACUUCGGGAAACCGGAGCUAAUACCGGAUAAUAUAUUGAACCGCAUGGUUCAAUAGUGAAAGACGGUUUUGCUGUCACUUAUAGAUGGAUCCGCGCCGCAUUAGCUAGUUGGUAAGGUAACGGCUUACAAGGCAACGAUGCGUAGCCGACCUGAGAGGGUGAUCGGCCACACUGGAACUGAGACACGGUCCAGACUCCUACGGGAGGCAGCAGUAGGGAAUCUUCCGCAAUGGGCGAAAGCCUGACGGAGCAACGCCGCGUGAGUGAUGAAGGUCUUCGGAUCGUAAAACUCUGUUAUUAGGGAAGAACAAAUGUGUAAGUAACUAUGCACGUCUUGACGGUACCUAAUCAGAAAGCCACGGCUAACUACGUG